AAGUCGUAACAAGGUUUCCGUAGGUCAAGUUUAGCCUGCCACAGCGGGUCAACCUCGCUAGUCUCCGCUGGAGGCGACACGCUCAACCCUGUGGGGAAAGGCCCGCUCCCGGGAAAUCCCACGAGGCCCCAAUUCCCCUUGCGCCCGGUAAGUCGGUUUAGAGGACUCAAUGGAGCGUGGGUGCUGAUCUCAGCGCUUGAGAUCAGAGUCCGUCCCAGCUGGUAGCCGCUGGGGCGACGAACCUGCGAAGUCAUACAAUGACGGCUUGCGAAGCCAGAUUCCUCACCCCGUGUAUACACUAUCUCUGUUGCUUUGGCGGGCGCCUGGCGCCUGCCAGAGGGAAAACCCUUGAAUCUCUGCAGUCUGAGCACGCUAAAUAGUCAAAU
rnacentral:misc_RNA from 1 species